UUUUUUUUUUUUGGUCCACUAGGCGAUUGCCUAGGGUUUUUAUUUUAUUAAUAAAAAGGAAAGGAAAAUUACAACAAAUAGGAGAAAUAAAAUAAGGGGGAUUACGCUGGAAAUGUUUCCCAUAUAACACUGCCGGCAUAGACCUUACCUUAGCUAUCCUAUUGAGGCAAAGGCCUUCUGGAUUAGCAAGCAUGUAAAAAGAAGGAACUCGCAAGCACUAAGAAAUGACUGAUCAUCACAGAGUUUAUAACAUAUUCUGUGAUGAUAUUACAUAGAAUUAUACUAAUGUGAUGGUAAAAUAAAAAGAUGAGGAAACCAUAAAGGUUCCCUUUUUUCUCUGUUGUUGUGAAAAAUUCGAUUUGUAGUAUGAAGUCUUCUUCCACCUGAUUUUUCAUUAAUUCUUCAAAUUUCAUACUUUAUUCUUGGAUUUAGAAAGUAUCAUUUGAUCAACCUGUUUUGUUUUUGCCUUUCGCAUUGGGGGCCUCCUUAUGUUGACGUCUUCGAUCACCCUGCCGUCCCAACUUCUAUUUGAUCAACCUGUUUUUGUUUUGCCUUUCGCAUUGGGGGCCUCCUUAUGUUGACGUCUUCGANN
rnacentral:lncRNA from 1 species